GGCCUUUUUAAAAAUGAAAGAAGCAAUCUGAUUGGUUGCUAUGGGCAACCACUUUUCCUCUUCACAGGUUUUGAUAAAUCUCCCCCAGUGUUUUUGGCAAAAAUAACACAAAGAUGUCAUCUUGGAGGAAAAGAAAUGAGUGAGGGGCCGGUGCUGGACACUGUAGGGACGCGGGAAUGUGAAGUCAAAAACAUGACUGUGACUGAUGCACUAUUUCCAGCAUGUGGAGUAGCAUUUCCGGACUUACUGCAAGAAGUUGGAUGAUGGCCUAGAUUUCCGGACUUACAGCAAGACGUGGGAUGAAGGCCUAGAUUUCCGGACCUACAGCAAGAAGUUGGAUGAAGGCACAGCCCCUCAAAUCACGCACAUACACUGACACAUUUGCCCAAAUUCUAGAGGUAACCUCCGUUAGUAUGCCCAGAGGAAGGGCAAUACAGUAGCCAUGGAUUCCCUACAGGUUUCCUCCCCUCUGGAGGUUUUUCCUGUCCUGAGUUAGUUACUGUCCGCUCUUUGUGAGUGAUGGACGGUUACAAAAAUCCCUACACAAACAUUUUAAUAAAUAAUAAAUAAAGUUUCCCUUUUUUUAAACUGUUCUUUGACUUGUUGAACUCAUUUAUUUUAUUUCUUUGUGUGAAAAAUAGUGUCAGCAAAAUGUGGAUGACAUGACAUUUUUUUAAGUGUCAAAAGCUGCUCUCCUACGUGAUCUGCACAAUACGGUGUGGAGAGAGGCGGCUGAUGCUGGUUUGUACAGUUGCUGAGGCAACCGUAGGACACCCAGCAAGUUCCGUGCACAAGCCUUUUUCUGAUGAAUGGGGACUUGCUAGGGGUCAUACAG